rnacentral:rRNA from 1 species
UACGGGGGGGGCAAGCGUUGUUCGGAAUUACUGGGCGUAAAGGGCUGGUAGGCGGCCAACUAAGUCGGAUGUGAAAUCCCCAGGCUUAACCUGGGAACUGCAUCCGAUACUGGUCGGCUUGAAUCCGGGAGAGGGAUGCAGAAUUCCAGAUGUAGCGGUGAAAUGCUUAGAGAUGACAUAGAACACCUAUUGCGAAGGCAGCUUACUACGCAGAGAUUGACGCUCAUGCACGAAAGCGUGGGGAUCAAACAGG